GUUCUGGGUACCGCAUUUCAAGAAAGAUGUGGAGAAAUUGGAGAGGGUCCAGAGAAGAGCAACAAGAAUGAUUAAAGGUCUUGAGAACAUGACCUAUGAAGGAAGGCUGAAGGAAUUGGGUUUAUUUAGUUUGGAAAAGAGAAGACUGAGGGGGACAUGAUAGCAGUUUUCAGGUAUCUAAAAGGGUGUCAUCAGGAGGAGGGAGAAAACUUGUUCACCUUAGCCUCCAAUGAUAGAACAAGAAGCAAUGGGCUUAAACUGCAGCAAGGGAGAUUUAGGUUGGACAUUAGGAAAAAGUUCCUAACUGUCAGGGUAGUUAAACACUGGAAUAGAUUGCCUAGGGAGGUUGUGGAAUCUCCAUCUCUGGAGAUAUUUAAGAGUAGGUUAGAUAAAUGUCUAUCAGGGAUGAUCUAGACAGUAUUUGGUCCUGCCAUGAGGGCAGGGGACUGGACUCGAUGACCUCUCGAGAUCCCUUCCAGUCCUAGAGUC